rnacentral:lncRNA from 1 species
GUUUUCUAGAGUAUUCCAGCUAUAAGUAGAAGUAUGUGAAGGCUUCCCAAAGCCCUAUAAAUAGAGGUCCUCGCCUCUACUUUGGAGGCAGACUAUGUACCCCUACCUAUAAUAGAACUUGUUCUUCUUAUCUAAGAUCUUGGAGUAGAUCUUGUGCCCUAGGAGUUCUGGAUUGAACUCUUGCUGCCCUAUCAACCUACAUUCGCCUCUAGAGCGAUAUCUAGCGCAGCACGUUGAAGUUGUUCCUUCAACACUUGUGCUGUACACAUUAUAGCAGCAAGGUGGAGUUGCUCCUCCACAAACUUUGUGCUGCUUCAUUUAGCAAAUGGUUCAAAUAAGAGAUGUGAUUGAUCAUUCCAUAGAUGACGAGGAGCUUGAUCGAGGAGCUUAAUUACUCACACGAGAUGUGAUUGAGCAUCUAAUUUUCAAUAAUAUGUCCGGCCGCCAUCUUCAGGCAAGAUCGUGGUCGCCUCCCCCUCCAAGCACACUGUGUCGCCUCUGCAAUCUAGCAUGCGGCCGCCGCCGUCGCCGACUAUGUAGCUGAAAGCAGGUGGCGUCGGCGGCAGCGAUGGUGGGGCGGAGGACGGCAGCGUGUUGCGGCUGGUGUUGUUCAUGUUUCUGUUGCCAGCAUGCUACUCUGCUCGUCUACCUCGCCAUUCUAGCAUGCGGCCGGACACCACCAAAUUCAUGCAUAGGUCGCCAUCUCGACUGCUGCACCAUAAUGGUGAACCUGGUCGCGGGUACUAUGGAGGGUGUAGGGCUAAGAGAUGAGGACAGAGCAUAUGUCAUAGUUGGCAAGUACUGCAGGUCACCUCCGUGUACACCAUGGAGGCUCGUUGUUAGCAUCUGCAUGCAUCAACAAUUCAACGUCUUCUAAUGUGAAUAUUCAACUGCAGUUCCCUCCACUAACUCGUCUUAAAUCUUCUAGCUUGCUUGCUGCAUCAUGUUCUGUUCACUUGGUCAUUUUUAAUUUGUAAUAGGGUGUGUAUUCCUUCAAUCUAACAGGAUUAAGACCAAGGAUAAUUAUGGAAUGUACCUGCACACAAAGGGCCAUCGCAUCAGGGAAGCGAGAAAAGGACAUGGAAUGGUACAGCCCCUUAGUACAGCCUCUUGGAGCGCUGGAUUGGAUAGCUAGCCUAGCGUGUCCUGUUGUGCAGCUGCGGGGCAGCCCAUUGGACCAGCGAUUGCUCGGAUCGUGGUUUGGGAUCUGCAGCGGUUCAGACAGCAACAUGACGACUCCGAAGCUAUAUACAUUGCUCUUCAGUGAGUAAUUAGCCAGACAAGGCUACCCCAGCUGCCCUAUAUCCUGAGUUUUCUUCUGAUUCCUGAAGUUGAUGCUAUAUAAUUAAUGUUUACAGAAAUGUUUGGCCCUAAAUUUUGGUCAAUUUAGGACCAUGUGUUCCCUUUGUAGACAGUUUGAAGGAUCAUGUGAUAGUCAGGCAACUAUUUAUCUUGCUUCAUACUCCCUCCUUAAACAAACGGGUGUGUCUAGGGCACAUCUAGAUGUGCCAUAGUUAUUGCACAUCUGAGUAACUUAAUCAAGCAUAAAAAAAAAAAAGAGGAAAGAAAAUACCCACACGAAUCUUCGGGUAAGAUCAAUGAUACAGGACUUAGAUGUGCAAUACUUAUGGCACAUCUAGAUGUGCUUUAGCAAAACUGUAAACAAAUAUAAGUAGUGAUCUAAAUGCUCUUAUAUUUCUUUACAGAGGGAAUACUUAAUUUUCCCACAUGUUUCUUUAUAUCCGUGUAAAUACUAUUUCGUUACCGCGCGUAACUUUCCAGUCUAAAUACUAUUGUAAUGUUUUUUUUUCUGUUCCGAUUGAUUUCCCAAUUGCUCGUGUAGCAUGCUUGCUUAAUUUGUUGCCUCUAUUAAUUUAGUGAUAACCAUGAUAUUGUUUCUCCCAAUUAUAAAAUAUGUACCAAGUAUGGUGUUUAGAGUGCCUCUCGAUAAACCCUGUAAAUAGCAUUUUUGUUUGUACUUCUAACAAAUUGGUGCAUAUAUGAUAUUAGGUGCUCUUUUCAGAAAAUUACCAAAAGUAUGUAUAAGGUCAUCAUCCUCUUCAUCAAUUCUUGCACAAUAUUCUGUUUUCUUGUAUUUUUAAGAACAUGUAUUCGUUCUUUGAUUGAAAAGUACAGCGCAACAUGUGUAUCAAAGUUCAAAGACUUGGAAUAACGUGUAUUUCAUUUAUUGGAAAUAUUAAUGUGUUCCUUGAGCUGUAACAAUGAGGAUGCAUAAAACUGAUACAGAACCUGCGAG